AACAAUAAUUACUUGACCGAAUAUACAAAAUUACAAAUUAUAACGAGUAAAAAUAACAUUACUUUUAUAUAUAUUAAUAAUUGCAUUUUCUUACAAUAAUAAUUAUUUUAUCAAAUAACUAAAAAUAUAAAUUCACAAAAAUAAAAGUAACAAUAAUAGUUAACAAAUGUAAUAAUUUAGAAACAUUACAUUUCAUUGUAAUAAUUAUUACUUUUUAUUACGACAAUAAUUACUUGACCGAAUAGCUAAGUUUAAAAAUUCUAGUCAAUGAAAAUAAAAUUACUUUUCUUCACAUCAAUAAUUACAUUUGUUUAUAAAAAUAAUUACUUGAUAAAAUAACUAAAAGUUAAUGUUCUUAUAAAUAAAAAUAAACAUUAUCCUAAACAAAUGUAAUAAUUCAAAAAUAUUAUAUUUGUUCGUAGCAAUAAUUACUUUUUAUUAGAAUAAUAAUUAUUUGAUUAAAUGAAUUGAAGAAUAAAUAAUAAAAUUGAAUAUAUGGUUAUAAAGAAAGAAGAAAAAAAGUGUUCAGUUUAGGAAUGAAUGAAAGAUCCAAAUUUUGCCCAAAAACAAACAAGGUGAGUUGAAGGAAGAUUGAUAGAUCGAUUAACUCAAUAAAGUCUCGAUUCACAAAUUAUUUACAAAGAAAUGGAUACAUUCAACAAGAAAAAAUGAUUCUCAAUAGUAGAAAACAGGCUUAAUUUUUUUUAUCAAAUCAAUUCAGAUACUGCGGGCACGAAAUUCCCAUCAAUUCACAAACAUUAAAAUUCACAAAAAUUAUUGAGCAAUAAUUAAACAAUUUAUUAAUUUAAGCAGUAGGUCCCAACAAUAAUUAAACAAUUCAUCAAUAAUCUAUAUAAUCUAUAUAAUAUAUAAAAGAGGAGUUUUUUCCCUCCAUAUUUUCCUUCUCUUUUUCUCUCUCUUCUUCCACCAAAAUUUUACUAUUUUUCUUUUUAGUUUUUAUAAUUUAAUUAUUUUUCUAAACAUCAUCAAAUUUGAUUCAUGAAAAAAAAAUCAAUAAGUAUCUUAAAUUUAAUAUAGUAUAAAAAUUAUCAAAAAUGAAUUUAAAAUGAAUAAGUUAUGAAAAAUUUAAAAUAAUUUAUUUUCUAUCUCCUCAUUAAAAAUUUACAACUUUUUAUUUAUGUUUAUAUGUGAAAAAUAUUUAUUAUGAUUAAUAAUACUAUAUAAUAAUAUGCAUAAUGCAAAUUUUCAUUAUCGAAUCAUUUUUAAAUUUAUUUAAUAACUAUAAUAUCAUUACACUUUGUAUAAAUUGAAAAUUUAUAUUUUUAAAUUCAUAAUUUUAUUGAGUAAUUGAUGUGAAUUAUUAUAAUUUAUUUUAAACAUAUUUUGUAUUUUUUAUUUUAUUUAUUUAUUUAUUUAUUAUUUAAAUUUAUCAUUUAAUUUCGAUGUCUGUCGUGCGAUUAAACAUUCAGAUGCAGUAGGCACGAUCAAUUCGACCGCAAAAUCUCUCCAAAUUUCACAAUCUCUCAUUUCCAAAACUGAACCCGCAUAUCACACAAACACACAAACAGAGAGAGACCGGCGUUGGGAGGAACCACCAUCAGUGGCGGCGGCGGCGAGGCGGAGCACUGGACAAAGAUCUUGGUUGGGUGGGCUGGGCAUCGCGACGCCACGUCGAUGGCGACCUCCUGCCAGUUUUUGUGCGCUUGCCGCGCCGGCGGUCGGGGGAGAAGAAGGAGAUCCGAUGGGAAGAGU
rnacentral:lncRNA from 1 species